rnacentral:rRNA from 1 species
UAAUACGUAGGGGGCAAGCGUUGUCCGGAUUUAUUGGGCGUAAAGAGCGUGUAGGCGGCUAGGUAGGUCCGUUGUGAAAACUCGAGGCUCAACCUCGAGCUGUCGAUGGAAACCAUCUGGCUAGAGUCCGGAAGAGGAGAGUGGAAUUCCUGGUGUAGCGGUGAAAUGCGCAGAUAUCAGGAAGAACACCC